AAGUUUUAUUCUUGCUUUUAUUGUUCACUUAAUCAUUAAUUUAUAUGUGAAUUUUUGUUAAUUAAAUAUUUCUUAAAGAUAUAUUUUAUUUAUGUUGCAGUAGAUAAUUUUAUUAAUAUUAAGUUAUUUUAGAUUUAGUAAAUGUUAAAAGAUUUGGUUAAAAUUGUGCCAGCAUCCGCGGUUAUACAAUAAAAUCAAGUGAACAUUAUUGGUUUUUAAAUAAUUUUCAUUAAUUUUUUAUUAUUAUAAUUUAUAUGUUUUGAAGUGAAAUAUUUAUAAUAUAUUUAUUUAAAUAAUUAUUAGUGUGAUUGUUAUGAAAUUGAAAUUAUAAACUAGGAUUAGAUACCCUAUUAUUUUUAUUGUAAAAAAUAUAAAGCUUGAGUAUUAAUAGUUAUGAUCUUUAAACUUAAAGAAUUUGGCGGUAUUAUAAUCUAUUUAGAGGAAUCUGUUAUGUAAUCGAUAAUCCACGUUGAACCUUACUUAUAUAAUUUUUUGUAUAUCGCUGUUUAAGAAUAUAUUUUUAGAUUAUUUUCUUGAUAUUAAAUUAAUUAAUAUUUCAAGUCAAGGUGCAGAAAUGUAUAAGUUUAAUAAUGGAUUACAAUAAAUUGUAUUUAUUAUGAAUUAUUAUUUUAAUAUAAUUUUGAAGGUGGAUUUAAUUGUAAUUUUAUAAAGAUUAUUAAAAUGAUCAUGGCUCUAUAAUAUGUACACAUCGCCCGUCGCUCUCAUUAUUAAGAUGAGAUAAGUCGUAACAAAGUAAGUGUAUCGGAAGAUGUACUUAGAAAGCAUUAAAUAAUU
rnacentral:ncRNA from 1 species